rnacentral:rRNA from 1 species
UACGUAGGGGGCAAGCGUUGUCCGGAAUUAUUGGGCGUAAAGAGCGCGUAGGCGGUCCGUUAAGUCGGCUGUGAAAGUCAGGGGCUCAACCCUUGAAAGCCGGCCGAUACUGUCGGACUAGAGUCCGGAAGAGGCGAGUGGAAUUCCCGGUGUAGCGGUGAAAUGCGCAGAUAUCGGGAGGAACACCAAUGGCGAAGGCAGCUCGCUGGGACGGUACUGACGCUGAGGCGCGAAAGCGUGGGUAGCAAACAGG